rnacentral:rRNA from 1 species
GUCUAGGGCCAUACCACCCUGAACGCGUGUGAUCUUGUCUGAUCUCAGAAGAUAAGCAGGGUCGGGCCUGGUUAAUACUUGGAUGGGAGAAAAAAAGCAUUUUAUAGU